GUCUCCAGAACCAUAUCACAACUAGAAAUGUGCAAACCACAAAAGGAGAAAACUCCUCAGUACAGGCAAACAUGCAAGACAGGUUGGAAAUCACCCACACACAAAACUAGUAGGAAGGUGAAAAGAGAAAAGGAGCAAAAUGGUCUAUAUCCACAAUAGUUUUGUGGAAGAGUUUUUUGCACAAAACAACUAGAUGCAAAUUACCACAUCAAAAAUAGUAAUCAUGUACAGAGUACAGUACAAAUACAUGGUUGUUAAAAUCCUCCUGAUAUUAAGAGAGUAACACUUUGAAACAAUUGAACAUAUAAAUUAUGAAAUCAAUGAAAUACAAAUUUUUUAAAAAGAUGAAUGCAACUUAGAGCUGGUUCUUGAAAUUAAAAUAAUUUGGCAAACAUUUAGCAUACUCAUGGGGCAAAUCAAUACAAUCGGAAAGCAAAAAGAAGAAAUUACAAUGAAUACCACAGAAAUACAAAGGGUUAUAAGAGAAUGCUAGGAAAAACAGGAUGCCUGUAAUGUGGACAACCUAGAAGAAAUAGACAAAUCCUAGAAAUGUACACUCUCUCAAGACAGAUCCAGGAAGAAACAGAAAAUAUGAAAAGACUAAUUACCAGUAAUGGAAUUGAAUCCGAAAAAAAAAAAAACCUCCCAACGAAAAUCUAGAGCCAGACAUCUUCACAGGCGAAUUAUACAAGGACAUAGAGGAGUUAACACCUGUUCUUCCCAAACUAUUCUAAAAAUCGGCAGAAAAAGGAAUUCUUCUAAACUUAUUCUAUGAGACAGCCAUCACUCUGAUACAAAAUCCGACAAAAAUAACACAAAAAAGAAAAUUAUAGGUCCGUAUCACGGACGAACAUAGAUGCAAUCAUCCCUCAAAUGUUAGCAAAUUGAAUCCGGCAAUGUAUGAAUAUCAUCAUAAACAAUGAACAAAUGGUAUUUAUCUCAGGGAUGUAAGUUUUUAAUACCUGCAAAGCAAUCAAUGUGAUAUACCACAUUACAAAUUGAAGAAUAAAAAUCAUAUAACCAUCUCAAUACUUGCAGGAAAGGCUUUUGACAAAAUCCAAUGUCCAUUUAUGAUAAAAACUCUCCAGAAAGUGGGUAGAGAGGCCACAUUCAUCAAUGUAAUAAAAGUCAUAUGGGAUAAGCCCUGAGUUAAUAUCAUACUCAUUGGAGAAAAGCUGAAAGUUCAUCCUCUAAGAUCAGGAACAAGACAAGGAUGCCCACCCUCGCCACUUUUAUACAACACUUUAUUGGAAGCCCUAGCCACAGCAUCAGGUAAAUCGAUCAAUCGAUGAAUCAAUCAAAUUGGAAAGGAGGUAGUAAAAGUGUCAUUAUUUUAUGCAGAUGUCAUGAUUACAUAUGUAGAAAAUCCUGAAAACACCUAAAGAUCAACAAUGAAUUUGGUAAAGUUGUGGGAUACGAAAUUAAUAUAAUGAAAUCUGUUGAAUGAUUUUUUUUUCUUUUUUGGCUGCUCUGUAACAUAUGGAGUUCCUGGGCCAGGGAUAACAUCCAAGCCACAGUUGUGACCUAAGCAGCAGCUGUGGCAGUGCUGGAUCCUUAACCAAGCAUGUGGGCCAGGGACUGAGCCUGCAUCCCAGUGCUCCCAAGACACGGCCAAUCCUGCUCUGCCACAGUGGGAACUCUGCGUUUCUAUACAUUAAUCACUAACUAUUCUGAAGAGAAAUUAAACAACCUCAUUCAUAAUCACUUGAAAAAGAAUGAAACACCUAGGAAUACCUACCUCAAGAAGAAAACAGACUCAGAAAAUCAUAGGGCAUUUAUGAAAGAAACUGAAGACAACACAAACAGUUGGAAAGAUAUGCCACGUUCAUGGACAGGAAGAAUAAAUGUUGUUACAAUGACCAUAGUGCCAAAGGCAAUAUACAGAUUCGAUGCAAACCCUGCCAAAACUCCAAGGGCAUUUUUCACAGAAGGAGAACAAAUAAUUUCCAAAUCUGUGAGGAACCCAAAAGACUCCAAAUAGCAACAACAAUCUUGAGAAGGGAGAACGGAUCUGGAGGAAUGACACUCCCUGACCUGAGCGUAUACUAUACAGUACAGAAGUCAAAGCAGUGUAUUAGCGGCACAAAAACAGACACAUAGACCAAUGGAACAGAACACAGAGCUUAGAAGUAAACCCAUGCACUUCUCAUCAAUCCAUCUACAGUAAAUAAGGCAAGAAUAUACAAUGGAGAAAAGCAGGUAACCCCAACCAGGAGAGGCUGGGAGUCAGUGCAUAAGCAUUCUUCUCCUCCUAAUCAGAUGGUCAAUUCUAAAAGGCAAAUUCUGGCCUUUUCACACUCCCAUGGCAAUCAGGCUGGUGUUGCCAUAGCAGUGACAUUGAUAAACAAGAGCAAGACAUCAAGGAGAGAAGAGGAGUCUCCGAUUUUCAGGAAUGAAUGAAGAGAAUUUAAAAUGAUAAAUAUUGGUUUAACAUUGGUUUACAUUGGUAAAUACGGUUUAGUAUUGGUUUAAUAGAAAAACAUAUUGUAUUCCUCUUAAUUCCUUUUAAAAUACAUCAAACUCACCAUAGUAAACAAGUAACAUUGUCUAGUGGGGUCUUUAUGUACAGAGAUUUGAGACAUAUGUCUGAAAAGUGUGACAUAAAGAUGGAAGGAGCAAAAUCAACAUGUAGAAUCUCAGGGUUUCUCUAUCUUAGGUAAAUUACACUAUUAGUGACUCUAGGUAACCUGUGACUAUUCUGGAAAAUGUAUUCACAUCCCGACAAUAGCACUGAGGACGUAAUGCAAGACAUAUGCCCAAAAUGCCAAAGAAAAAUUAAAAUGAGGUUUUGUAAUUCAGAUAACCCAAAGGAAGGCAGGAAAGGGGGAGAAAGAAGCAUGACACCUAACAGCAGUAUCUGACACAGAGCAAGGAAAACAACUUUUAGUUAACGUCAUUUUAACAGUAAAAUAUGGAAUGUUUGAUUUGUAUCUGGGAGACACCGAGGUCGUCCAGCCUCAUCACUUUUAUUCAGCAUUACACUUCAAGGUCUCAGCAAUUUAAAUAAGGUAAUAACAAUUUGUAAAAGUAUAAAGACUAAACAGGAAAAAGUAAAACUUUCUCUGGAUGAAAACGUGUUGUUCAAGCAGGAAAUUCUAGGAAAUCUACGAAACAUAGAAUGUAACUCAUUCGUAAGAUCACAGAAUAUAAACAUAACACAAAAAUGAUUAUUCUUUAUAUACUUUAAUAAGCAAUGGAAAGAUUAAAAAGAACCUUAGGAUAUGUUAAAACCCAUAAGUAUUUAAGAGCAAAUAUUUCUUAAAGUUUUACUGAAAAUUAUAGAACACUGCUGAGAGAAAUAAAGAAGAUACAAAUAAAUGUAAUGAGGCAUACCAUGUUUAUGGAUUGGAAGAUUCAAUGCUCUUGAGGAACCAAUUCUCCAAAAACUGAUGUAUGUAUACAGAGAAAUAUAGAUCAAAAUUCUAUAAGAACUUUUCAUAUAAAUAGGCUGAUUUUAUGUGAGUGUGCCAACUAACCAGAAUAAUGAAAGUAGUUUUAAUAAUCAAAAAAUAGGCUUGGAUGGUUUGUACUACAUGACUUCAAGACUUACCAUAAAGCUAAAAUAAUCAAGACAGUGCAGUAUUGAGUAAACUUUAGACAUAGAUUACGGAAACAAAAAAAAAA
rnacentral:lncRNA from 1 species